rnacentral:tRNA from 1 species
CGUCCUAUGGUGCGCUCGGCGACGGCCUGAUCCCCGCCCGCACCCGGGACGGCGGUGUCGUCUACGUCGACACGUCGUUCGUGCCAGCGCUGGGCGGC